GCUGGGAUGUUGUUGGGUUGCUCAGCCACGUUAUAAUUGUGUUUACUUCAUUACAUCAAAACCAAACAUCAACCCUAGCAUUUUCCUUUGGGAAAGCAUCCUAAAUAAUGGUGGCUUUAACAACAAAAUUGUGAGCCUUGCUGUAUUGGCGCACGCCUUGAAUCCCAGCAUUGGGAGGCAGAGGCAGGUGGAUCUCCAGGUGGAGUUCCAGGCCAGCCAAUGAUACACAAGGAAAUCCUGUCUCAAAAAUAAAACAAAGCAAAACAAAAAAACCAAACCCAAAAUCCCAAAAUUGUUAACCCUUUGUAGAGUCUUUCUCUGUAACGCUGUGGAGUUUUUUCCUUGUGAUCCACAGUUUGAUUUUAGUGACAAUCACUUGCUUCUGGAGUUAGGCUGUUUGUGUAAGAGAUCUCACUGUUGCCUUUGGUUAGGGAAUAUGACUAGAAACUGUAGUGUGCCUUUUCUCUUCACCCUGCUGGAAGCCAGCAGCACCCGUGCCAUGAAGCAAUUGCAAAACCAGAAUUUAUCUGCUGCCACAAAAAAAAAAAAAAAAAAAAAGACAGAGCCCAUAAUUAGAAAAUACUCUAUAGUUGUCUUGGUUACUUCCACAAUUGAGGCUAAUGGUUUUUUGACUCUCCCAGUUUAGAAACUGGAGAAAUGCAAUAUUGAAAGCCAUUGACAGCCAAUGCCUUCCCAAGACAGGUGAAUGUGUCAGGUGAGCAGGCAAUCCCACUUGAAAAGCUGCCUUCCUUGUAGUUGAUAUUGACAGGUUAAAGUCUAGUUAAUGUAAAAAUAUUGAAAGACAAUAGGUCCCCCCUUUCAGUGUUUCUAUCCUCAAACUGCAUUGGUUGGCCUUGGAUUGGAGGCAUGAGGAUUCAAUGUAAAUCCACACAAAGAGCCCCCCUUCCUAGGCAGCACGUAGCUUUCAAACAACGGGAAAAAACAGUUAAGGUAAAGUUUGUUAUCUCUGGAUAUGAAUUGGAUUGGAUCUAGGUAGGAGGGCAAACGUUUCAUUUACCAAUCAUGCUCAAUCAAACUGCCUAAGUCUAAAAUAGAACCUUCCUGGGUGGUUCUUCCUUCCCUGAACAAGCUAGGCCAGGCACCAGGAGACAGAAGGAGACUCCAUUCCAUCUGAACUAAGCUAGAUUUGUUCGCAUGGAUCAGAAUGAGUUGGUCAGGGCCUGCCCACACUGGCUCGUGGUCUGCAAGUUUGGGAGGAAACCACCUGGGCUUCAGAGAUGACCACAGUGCUUUUUAAAAGGCACUUUUUUGUGUUUGCAGCUCCAUUCAUCUAGAAGUGCUGCCACUGUGGCUCUUCCCUGCAUUUAACUCCCUUGCUAAAGUUACUUAGGAAACGUGAGUUGGUGAGGACACAUUCAUUUCUAGGAAAAGCUACUUGAUGUUGUCUGGGCAGGACUGCUUAGCAACUGACCACCAGUGACAUCAGGACCCAGGAAGUCUUUGAUCAGACUAAUGGAAAGUCCUUCCUGUUGGGAAUUAGUGGACAACCUCUCCCCAAACUACAACUACCCAGAAACUUCUGGGAUAGAAGACCCUGUAGCUAUAAAGCAUGACUCAGUAGAUAUGGGAUGGAGGGGCCCCUUUAACUUAAGAACUUUAAAUGCCUUUGUAAGUGCAUCAAAGCUUCUUCCAGCAGAAUGAAAAUUAGAAAAGUAUAUUUAUAGGUGCCCUUGACGCUUUUGGGGAACGCAUACUAUCCAGAGUCUAAGAGAAGAAUGUCUGCAUUAGCUGAGCUGAGGGCUUAUAGACAGAUUGUCUUAGGGUUUCUAUUCCUGCACAAACAUCAUGACCAAGAAGCAAAUUGGGGAGGAAAGGGUUUAUUCGGCUUGCGCUUCCAUGCUGCUGUUCAUCACCAAAGGAAGUCAGGACUGGAACUCAAACAGGUCAGGGAGCAGGAGCUGAUGCAGAGGCCAUGGUGGGAUGUUCCUUACUGGCUUGCUCAGCUUGCUCUUUUAUAGAACCCAAGACUACCAGCCCAGGGAUGGUUCCACCUACAAGGAGCCUUUCAUCCUUGAUCACUAAUUGAGAAAAUGCCUUACAGUUGGAUCUCAUGGAGGCAUUUCCUUAACUGAAGCUCCUUUCUCUGUGAUAACUCCAGGUGAGUCAAGUUGAAACAAAACUAGGCAGUACACAGAUUAAUACAAUUCUGAGGCCCAGCUAUAACUCUUGAUUUGAGGCAAGAAGGACGGACCCUGAGUAGUGCCACAAUCAAGGGUAGCAGUAUUUGUCGAAACUAACAUGGCCACAUGCUGCUCUUCCUCAUUAACUCCCCAGCUUUAAUUGGUCCCCAAAACCUAGUUCUAUCCAUUGCCCUGCCCUGCCCUACUGCCCCCCUGUCGGGUGGCUUCUACCUCUUGGCUUGGGCCCUGACAGGUCACAGGGGCUUCCAAGCGUUCUCCUGAGGCUCUUUGAGCACAAUCAGGUCUGUCGACCUUUCCAGCUUUCUGGGUCUGGAAUUCCUCAGGCCUUUGUUAGCUUGAAUAGCUGUCUGUGACAAGUGAGUAUGUGUUCUAGAAACAUCAGCUGUUUUUCCUCACAUAUUUUUUUUAAAAGUUCUUACUUGCAUUUUGGAAAGCAGUUGGUCAGAAACCUUAAAACCUAUUUUUUUUUUUUAAGCUGGGCAAUUGUAGCAGGCAGAUCUCUUGUGAGUUCAAGACCUACCUGGUCUUCAAAGUGAGUUCCAGUAUAGUUAGAGCUACACAGAGAAUCCCUGUCUCAAACAAAACAAAGCAAAACAAACAAACAAACAAACAAAACAGAUAAUACAAACUAUAUUUUAAGAUUUCUCUCCCACUGAAGUGACCUCUUGAGAAUAGCCACUGUUCUUGCAUUUCUUCAUAAAUCUGAGUGUUCCCCAUCUCACUGAGUGGAAAUACUACAGAUACAUUUAAAAGAUCGCCUAUACUGUGUAAGAAAUUACCUCCUGAUGAUCCAGUAGAACUCACUGUGGAUAGACACGUCUGUCAGAUUACGGUACUGCAGUUUUACAUCCAUUGUUUGAAGACUUUAUUGUACACUCAUGUGCAGAUGAAGUUUUAAAAUGUUACUGACGAGUCACCAUUUGAUCAGUCAUUGUCUUGAUAUUUUAUUAAAUUGUAUAUUUCUAAUAAUAUUUUUUAAAGUUGAGAGAACUGGUUGGAUGUUUAUUCUCCUGAAGGUAUUUUUAAGAUAAAGCUUCACCAUAGCCUGUAAACUUGGCACAUAAGUAGUUUUUGAUACUUUUUGUUGCAUUUGAAAAAUCUUGUGUAUUGUAAAAUGGUUUUAUACAAAAUACUAAAUAGUAGAAAUUGUAUAAUUUACAAUCGUAUAAUUAAAAAUAUUAAACAGUC
rnacentral:lncRNA from 1 species